rnacentral:rRNA from 1 species
AUUGAACGCUGGCGGCAGGCUUAACACAUGCAAGUCGAGCGGAGUGAUGGUGCUUGCACUAUUACUUAGCGGCGGACGGGUGAGUAAUGCUUAGGAAUCUGCCUAUUAGUGGGGGACAACAUCUCGAAAGGGAUGCUAAUACCGCAUACGUCCUACGGGAGAAAGCAGGGGAUCACUUGUGACCUUGCGCUAAUAGAUGAGCCUAAGUCGGAUUAGCUAGUUGGUGGGGUAAAGGCCUACCAAGGCGACAAUCUGUAGCGGGUCGGAGAGGAUGAUCCGCCACACUGGGACUGAGACACGACCCAGACUCCUACGGGAGGUAGCAGUGGGGAAUAUUGGACAAUGGGGGGAACCCUGAUCCAGCCAUGCCGCGUGUGUGAAGAAGGCCUUAUGGUUGUAAAGCACUUUAAGCGAGGAGGAGGCUCUUUUGGUUAAUACCCAAGAUGAGUGGACGUUACUCGCAGAAUAAGCACCGGCUAACUCUGUGCCAGCCGCCGCGGUAA